AGUGCCCCAGCACACUUCCCCAGGGGCACACAGCCCGGGUCUUCUCAAGUCAUGUUCGAUAUCUAGUUAAGGGGUACAUUUAUCUCCAGUGUUCCCCGGGACCUUCCCUUUUGAUUUUCAAGAACAUUUUCUUCCCACUGCCAGAGCAGUCCUUUCGAAUCAAAGGCUCGGCUUUUCCAAAGCAUGGUUUCUGAUGUGGGCUUCAGUGGACUGGCUGCGAAGUUCCUGAGACAAUGAGAGGGAACGCUGGCUCUCUCUCUCUCUUUAUCUUCUUGCAGUAAAGCUCCAAUUCUCCUUGAGGUGACCCUAGUUUGUGUGAAGCCAACAAAACUGACCAGCACACCUUCUGAGUGCUACAGCAGGAUGGAGAUGGGAGGCAAAUUCUUGGAAGCUUGAGGGUGGAUAGCUGAUGUGCCCAGCCCUCUAGCAACAGGCAAACAAGGCAGGAGGAGUGUGGAAUGGGAGUCAGUGCUUAAUAGGUGCAAAGUUUCCAUUUGGUUCUAGAGACGAUGGUGCUGAUGGCUAUAAGACGUCUUGAAUGUGCUCAAUGCUACCAAACUGCACAAUUAAAAUGGUUAAGACUGUGAAUGUUGUGUGUAUUUUCCUGCCGCAGAGUACUGUAUUUUUUUCUGGUAUGUUUUAUUCUUGUGUAAUCAGCUUUGUGGGUUUUUUUUUUCCCCUUCCAGAUUAACUUGAGAAUCAACUUGUCACAUUCUAUUAAAAGUCCCUUUGAUAUUUUUACUGCAGUUACAUCAAGUUUAUGGAUUGCCUUGGGGAGAAGUGACAUUUUUAUGACCCUGAACCUUCCCCCAGGUGGAGGCCUCCUCAUUGACUGGGAUCUCUUUAUGUCUUUCAGUAGAGUUGUGUAUAAUUCC
rnacentral:lncRNA from 1 species